GAACUAAUGGUGAAAUGCAUAGCAUCGCUGCCCGGAAAGCAGAAGGUGCGGGUUCGAGUCCCGCCUGGCGCA
rnacentral:tRNA from 1 species